UACGAAGGGGGCUAGCGUUGUUCGGAAUUACUGGGCGUAAAGCGCACGUAGGUGGCUUGGUAAGUUGGAUGUGAAAUCCCCGGGCUUAACUUGGGAAUUGCAUUCAAGACUGCCUUGCUAGAGUGUGGAAGAGGGAAGCGGAAUUCCAGGUGUAGCGGUGAAAUGCGUAGAUAUCUGGAGGAACAUCAGUGGCGAAGGCGGCUUCCUGGUCCAACACUGACACUGAGGUGCGAAAGCGUGGGGAGCAAACAGG
rnacentral:rRNA from 1 species